rnacentral:rRNA from 1 species
UGCAAGUCGAACGGCAGCACGGAGCUUGCUCUGGUGGCGAGUGGCGAACGGGUGAGUAAUAUAUCGGAACGUACCCUGGAGUGGGGGAUAACGUAGCGAAAGUUACGCUAAUACCGCAUACGAUCUACGGAUGAAAGUGGGGGAUCGCAAGACCUCAUGCUCGUGGAGCGGCCGAUAUCUGAUUAGCUAGUUGGUAGGGUAAAAGCCUACCAAGGCAUCGAUCAGUAGCUGGUCUGAGAGGACGACCAGCCACACUGGAACUGAGACACGGUCCAGACUCCUACGGGAGGCAGCAGUGGGGAAUUUUGGACAAUGGGCGAAAGCCUGAUCCAGCAAUGCCGCGUGAGUGAAGAAGGCCUUCGGGUUGUAAAGCUCUUUUGUCAGGGAAGAAACGGUGAGGGCUAAUAUCCCUUGCUAAUGACGGUACCUGAAGAAUAAGCACCGGCUAACUACGUGCCAGCAGCCGCGGUAAUACGUAGGGUGCAAGCGUUAAUCGGAAUUACUGGGCGUAAAGCGUGCGCAGGCGGUUUUGUAAGUCUGAUGUGAAAUCCCCGGGCUCAACCUGGGAAUUGCAUUGGAGACUGCAAGGCUAGAAUCUGGCAGAGGGGGGUAGAAUUCCACGUGUAGCAGUGAAAUGCGUAGAUAUGUGGAGGAACACCGAUGGCGAAGGCAGCCCCCUGGGUCAAGAUUGACGCUCAUGCACGAAAGCGUGGGGAGCAAACAGGAUUAGAUACCCUGGUAGUCCACGCCCUAAACGAUGUCUACUAGUUGUCGGGUCUUAAUUGACUUG